rnacentral:rRNA from 1 species
CCCUUAGACGUUCUGGGCCGCACGCGCGCUACACUGACCAGUGCAACAAGCAUCCGUCCUUGGCCGACAGGCCCGGGCAAUCUUUGAACGCUGGUCGUGAUGGGGAUAGACUUUUGCAAUUUUUGGUCUUCAACGAGGAAUUCCUAGUAAACGCAAGUCAUCAACUUGCAUUGAUUACGUCCCUGCCCUUUGUACACACCGCCCGUCGCACCUACCGAUUGAAUGGUCCGGUGAAGCCUCCGGAUUGGCGCGCACCUCGGUGCCGCCGAGAAGUUUGCUAAACCUUACCAUUUAGAGGAAGGUGAANUCGUANCA